rnacentral:lncRNA from 1 species
CAAAGUCCUUGGUUUGGAGAAAGCACUACUUAGCAACAACUAAACACCAGUGUGUUGUCAACAUUAUGCUCACCCUUAAUCCAAAACACAGCCUUGCACCAGCUGCUAGGAAGAAAAUUAACCCUGACUCAGCCAAAAUCCAGACACCAAGAAAGAAAGUUCAAGCAAAUGUAGGCUCAGUGGCAAUGACAGACAUCUUCAAACCGGCAGCUGAAAAGAUCUGAAUCGCUCAGAACCCAGGUAGGAUUCAACAGUGUUUCCCCAGCCAGAAUACUCUUCAGCGUCUGUUUGUCCUCAAGCAUUUGCCCCAAGAACAUUAAUCCCGGUCCAAGCCAGCAACAGGUGAGGAAGGUAGAAAGUCUCUGUCCUGUCUGCUGU